AACUUUUGGCAAUGGAUCUCUUGGUUCUGGCAUCGAUGAAGAACGCAGCGAAAUGCGAUACGUAGUGUGAAUUGCAGAAUUCAGUGAAUCAUCGAAUCUUUGAACGCACCUUGCGCCCCUCGGUAUUCCGGGGGGCAUGCCUGUUCGAGCGUCAUUUCUACAUCUCAAGCUUAUCCUGGUAUUGGGCAUCGUUGCUUCUUUAUAUACAUAGAUUUAACGUACCUUAUAUGUAGACGACGGCAAACACUAGAUCCGAGCUUAUGGGUAAAACGUUGUCGGUUGAGUAGUUUGGGGUAUGGUCUACCGCAUAGUUUUUACAACAGUUUGACCUCAAAUCGAGUAGGACUACCCGCUGAACUUAAGCAUAUCAAUAAGCGGAGGCU
rnacentral:misc_RNA from 1 species